GUAUGGUGCGAAGCAUUUUCCUUGUGCUACUCUAUUCAAUCCUCUUCCAUCCUCAGGGAUAUUGGCCUACUUUCUGAAAAGUUUUUAUGAGGAUACACAGAUUAGUAAGACCUACAAGGUCAGCGGGAGUUUAUGUGUAGGCCGAGAGAGACAACAAUACAAUCAACGUUCAGGUGUAACCAGGCAGAAGGGCAAGGGGAUAGUUAUGGCAGCGGGGGAAGCAGGCUGAGGGCACUUGAGAUAGGGUGGAACAUCUGCUCAGAUCAAGGUUUUUAGACACGUGUUUUUUGAGGAGGGAACCGGGGACUUCUUUACUUCAAAGUCUUCUGGUUACUAACUUUUUCCUUAAGCAGGAAAGGGCCCCGGGGAGACAGUCUCCCUAACAAGCAUGUCACCAGGGACCAUCAGCCACAGUCCCUAUCGCUUCGGCACAAGGCCCCAAGACUGCAAGUUGCCUCCAGGGCUAAGGUAUCUCCAAGGCCGACCUUCCACAGGGCUUACUGCCAUUCACUCAACACCGAUCUUUUCUGCUAAUGAACAAGCUGUCUCCAUGGACCUUUUUAUUUAAAACAUCACUCAAACCUUCUAAAAUCAGUGUUAGAGCUGAAAAGGAACUCUGAAGACACCUCACCCAACCUCACCCUGACUGAACACACAGAGGUCCCGGGAGGUCCCAAGGAUGGACAGUACUGUGAAUCACUUGCAAGGUCAGGACCAAGGACCAAUCCUCCAUACCAGGGGGCCAGGGAAACUAGGUUUAUCAAGGGCGUAACAGGUGCCAGAUACUUGACAUUUACUCUCAUUCAAUCCCAAGGCAGCAGUGGCCCCAUUUCAUAGAUGAUGAAACAGAUUCAGAAGUUAAGUAACUUGCCAAGUGGCCAAGUAUGUGACAAGGGCAAGAAUGAAACCAGUCCUGUUUAGCAACAACAUCACGCCCUCUUUACUGAAUCUUGAUGUCAAAAACUUCCAGACUUCAGUGCUCCUCAACCAAUCUUAAUCCAUCCCAUUUCACAUCUCCAUCAACCCAGUAUUAAAUUCAAAACACACGAGACCUAAGCCAUCUAACACAGACGGUGUCGGUUUUUGAGAAGCAUAUUGCUCAGGCUGCAGGGACAUUUCAUGUUUAAAUGUUUUUAUUUAAAAAAAAAAUUAAAGACCUUCAUGGCACAA